GUCUACAGCCAUGCUACCCUGAACAAGCCCGAUCCCAUCUGAUCUCAGAAGCUAAGCAGAAUUGGGCCUCGUUAGUACUUGGAUGGGAGAACACCUAGGAAGACCAGGAGCUGUAGGCG
rnacentral:rRNA from 1 species